UUUGUACCUUGUUAGCUUUUGAUACCUUUAGCCUAGCUUAGUGCCACGGCUGGACGCAGGUGGAAGCAGUUAGCUUAGCCCUGCCGAAGACGCUUUCCAACAACUCCUAGUUGUAUCUUCUGUAUUUAACAUGGGUAGAAAUGUGGAAUUUGAUUUGCUACUGACCAAGAGCAGCUAGGCGAGAGCUAAACAGCACUUCAUCCUUGAGGACACGCCCAUCUAACAGUAAUAUUCAUCUGUGCACCAUAUGUGAUCAUAUCCAAUGUCCCCAGCUCCCAGCACUUGACAUUACAUCAGGAUAUGGCAGUGAAGGAUGAAAAGAUGCCUCUUAGUUUGGACUCGACUCCCUCCAGGGCCGAGCAGGAAACCACAGGAAUGAUGUGCUGAGGUGGAAGAAGUUUCUGGAAGGUGGUGAAGAUGCCACAGUUUGAGACGACCACAGGAUCUGGGUGACGGGAGCUCUGACCAGACAGUUUCCUCCAUAUUUCUGAAUUGUGCGGAUGAUGUGGAAGGCGAUUUCACUGGCACCACCUUUAGGGUAGUAGGCGCCUCGUUUGUAGUGAUGAAUCAGGAGGGCAUUGAUCAGAAUGCUGGAGUCUCUUGGAGGUACACCUGAAGAAGAAGUACAGAGUGUUCCCAUCCAUAGUGCCAUAGUGAGGGACCCGUCCGACCUGUACAUAACAUCUGACCUCAAUCCACUGUCUGAAGAUUUGAGUAGAAUACCAAAAGCCGCUGUAGUUACAUUUUUGCAGACCCACCAUAGAAAAGCUGGUAAUCCCAACCAGAAGCUUCAAAACACCCCCUCUGAAAGUGUGUAAAUGACACGCUACAUCCAUGUUUCUCUAGAUUAAGGUGCUGCCAUAUUGUAUUGAAUGUCCUGUGCUAACUACAACACCUGAGAAAGCCGUUCUAUGCAUUCAGAAAAUGUUCAUUCAUACGAUGUUGCCACACCCUUGUGCACAGUUGGUGGUUCAGAAACUUUACUUACUACUGUGCCUCAUCAGUUUACACCUUGAACACAUAUAACUGCUGUGUUGUGCUGCUAGACAUGGUAGGCCCCCUGAUAACAGCUCAUACAGGCCCCUGAAACAGCAAAUAUCUAUUUGAUUAAACAAGAUUGUUUUCCUCAA